rnacentral:tRNA from 1 species
AAGGGAGACCUAAUUCGGGUAGAAGACGAAAAAAUAGUAGUCGAAACCAAGAAUCAGUCCCAAAAGGUCGGAACGAGGUAUGUGGCUUUCAAACUAGGUUCUGGGUUCACAAAAGACCUGAAUCAGGAACAAGGGCUAUUAGCUCAGGUGGUUAGAGCGCACCCCUGAUAAGGGUGAGGUCCCUGGUUCGAGUCCAGGAUGGCCCACCUGCACAGGUGGCAAAAACAAGAGAAACGAGGAAUCAGCACCUUAUCUUACUUACAUAGUAAGAGAGAAUGCUGGCUCUGAGUAAAGAGUCCAGAGGAACCUUGAAAACUGCAUAGAGCUAGGUGAAAAAGCCAAAAAAGAAGACCGCAA